UACGUAGGGUGCAAGCAUUAAUCGGAAUUAUUGGGCGUAAAGGGCGCGUAGGCGGUAAAGCAAGUCAGAUGUGAAAUUCCAAAGCUCAACUUUGGAGCUGCAUAUGAAACUGUUUAACUAAGAGGGAUGGCGGAGAAAGCGGAAUUCCACGUGUAGCGGUGAAAUGCGUAGAUAUGUGGAAGAACACCGGUGGCGAAAGCGGCUUUCUAGCUAUUUACUGACGCUGAGGCGCGAGAGCAAGGGGAGCAAACAGG
rnacentral:rRNA from 1 species